rnacentral:rRNA from 2 species
UUAAGCGACUAAGCGUACACGGUGGAUGCCCUGGCAGUCAGAGGCGAUGAAGGACGUGCUAAUCUGCGAAAAGCGUCGGUAAGGUGAUAUGAACCGUUACAGCCGGCGAUGUCCGAAUGGGGAAACCCAGUGCAAUUCGUUGCACUAUCGUUAACUGAAUACAUAGGUUAACGAGGCGAACCGGGGGAACUGAAACAUCUAAGUACCCCGAGGAAAAGAAAUCAACCGAGAUUCCCCCAGUAGCGGCGAGCGAACGGGGAGCAGCCCAGAGUCUGAAUCAGCUUGUGUGUUAGUGGAACGGUCUGGAAAGUCCGACGGUACAGGGUGAUAGUCCCGUACACCAAAAUGCACAGGCUGUGAACUCGAAGAGUAGGGCGGGACACGUGGUAUCCUGUCUGAAUAUGGGGGGACCAUCCUCCAAGGCUAAAUACUCCUGACUGACCGAUAGUGAACCAGUACCGUGAGGGAAAGGCGAAAAGAACCCCGGCGAGGGGAGUGAAAAAGAACCUGAAACCGUGUACGUACAAGCAGUGGGAGCACCUUUAUGGUGUGACUGCGUACCUUUUGUAUAAUGGGUCAGCGACUUAUAUUCUGUAGCAAGGUUAACCGUAUAGGGGAGCCGCAGGGAAACCGAGUCUUAACUGGGCGUUAAGUUGCAGGGUAUAGACCCGAAACCCGGUGAUCUAGCCAUGGGCAGGUUGAAGGUUGGGUAACACUAACUGGAGGACCGAACCGACUAAUGUUGAAAAAUUAGCGGAUGACUUGUGGCUGGGGGUGAAAGGCCAAUCAAACCGGGAGAUAGCUGGUUCUCCCCGAAAGCUAUUUAGGUAGCGCCUCGUGAAUUCAUCUUCGGGGGUAGAGCACUGUUUCGGCUAGGGGGUCAUCCCGACUUACCAACCCGAUGCAAACUACGAAUACCGAAGAAUGUUAUCACGGGAGACACACGGCGGGUGCUAACGUCCGUCGUGAAGAGGGAAACAACCCAGACCGCCAGCUAAGGUCCCAAAGUCAUGGUUAAGUGGGAAACGAUGUGGGAAGGCACAGACAGCCAGGAUGUUGGCUUAGAAGCAGCCAUCAUUUAAAGAAAGCGUAAUAGCUCACUGGUCGAGUCGGCCUGCGCGGAAGAUGUAACGGGGCUAAACCAUGCACCGAAGCUGCGGCAGCGACACGAUGUGUUGUUGGGUAGGGGAGCGUUCUGUAAGCCUGCGAAGGUGACCUGUGAGGGUUGCUGGAGGUAUCAGAAGUGCGAAUGCUGACAUAAGUAACGAUAAAGCGGGUGAAAAGCCCGCUCGCCGGAAGACCAAGGGUUCCUGUCCAACGUUAAUCGGGGCAGGGUGAGUCGACCCCUAAGGCGAGGCCGAAAGGCGUAGUCGAUGGGAAACAGGUUAAUAUUCCUGUACUUGGUGUUACUGCGAAGGGGGGACGGAGAAGGCUAUGUUAGCCGGGCGACGGUUGUCCCGGUUUAAGCAUGUAGGCUGGUUAUCCAGGCAAAUCCGGAUAAUCAAGGCUGAGGUGUGAUGACGAGGCACUACGGUGCUGAAGUAACAAAUGCCCUGCUUCCAGGAAAAGCCUCUAAGCAUCAGGUAACACGAAAUCGUACCCCAAACCGACACAGGUGGUCAGGUAGAGAAUACCAAGGCGCUUGAGAGAACUCGGGUGAAGGAACUAGGCAAAAUGGUGCCGUAACUUCGGGAGAAGGCACGCUGGUGUGUAGGUGAAGUCCCUGCGGAUGGAGCUGAGACCAGUCGAAGAUACCAGCUGGCUGCAACUGUUUAUUAAAAACACAGCACUGUGCAAACACGAAAGUGGACGUAUACGGUGUGACGCCUGCCCGGUGCCGGAAGGUUAAUUGAUGGGGUUAUCCGUAAGGAGAAGCUCUUGAUCGAAGCCCCGGUAAACGGCGGCCGUAACUAUAACGGUCCUAAGGUAGCGAAAUUCCUUGUCGGGUAAGUUCCGACCUGCACGAAUGGCGUAAUGAUGGCCAGGCUGUCUCCACCCGAGACUCAGUGAAAUUGAACUCGCUGUGAAGAUGCAGUGUACCCGCGGCAAGACGGAAAGACCCCGUGAACCUUUACUAUAGCUUGACACUGAACAUUGAGCCUUGAUGUGUAGGAUAGGUGGGAGGCUUUGAAGCGUGGACGCCAGUCUGCGUGGAGCCAACCUUGAAAUACCACCCUUUAAUGUUUGAUGUUCUAACGUUGGCCCCUUACCGGGGUUGCGGACAGUGUCUGGUGGGUAGUUUGACUGGGGCGGUCUCCUCCCAAAGCGUAACGGAGGAGCACGAAGGUUAGCUAAUCCUGGUCGGACAUCAGGAGGUUAGUGCAAUGGCAUAAGCUAGCUUGACUGCGAGCGUGACGGCGCGAGCAGGUGCGAAAGCAGGUCAUAGUGAUCCGGUGGUUCUGAAUGGAAGGGCCAUCGCUCAACGGAUAAAAGGUACUCCGGGGAUAACAGGCUGAUACCGCCCAAGAGUUCAUAUCGACGGCGGUGUUUGGCACCUCGAUGUCGGCUCAUCACAUCCUGGGGCUGAAGUAGGUCCCAAGGGUAUGGCUGUUCGCCAUUUAAAGUGGUACGCGAGCUGGGUUUAGAACGUCGUGAGACAGUUCGGUCCCUAUCUGCCGUGGGCGCUGGAGAAUUGAGGGGGGCUGCUCCUAGUACGAGAGGACCGGAGUGGACGCAUCACUGGUGUUCGGGUUGUCAUGCCAAUGGCACUGCCCGGUAGCUAAAUGCGGAAGAGAUAAGUGCUGAAAGCAUCUAAGCACGAAACUUGCCCCGAGAUGAGUUCUCCCUGAGACUUUAAGUCUCCUGAAGGAACGUUGAAGACGACGACGUUGAUAGGCCGGGUGUGUAAGCGCAGCGAUGCGUUGAGCUAACCGGUACUAAUGAACCGUGAGGCUUAACCUU